rnacentral:rRNA from 1 species
GACGAACGCUGGCGGCGUGCUUAACACAUGCAAGUCGAACGGUAAGGCCCUUCGGGGUACACGAGUGGCGAACGGGUGAGUAACACGUGGGUGAUCUGCCCUGCACUUCGGGAUAAGCCUGGGAAACUGGGUCUAAUACCGGAUAGGACCACUGCCUGCAUGGGUGGUGGUGGAAAGCUUUUGCGGUGGGGGAUGGGCCCGCGGCCUAUCAGCUUGUUGGUGGGGUGAUGGCCUACCAAGGCGACGACGGGUAGCCGGCCUGAGAGGGUGACCGGCCACACUGGGACUGAAAUACGGCCCAGACUCCUACGGGAGGCAGCAGUGGGGAAUAUUGCACAAUGGGCGCAAGCCUGAUGCAGCGACGCCGCGUGAGGGAUGACGGCCUUCGGGUUGUAAACCUCUUUCAGCACCGACGAAGCGCAAGUGACGGUAGGUGCAGAAGAAGGACCGGCCAACUACGUGCCAGCCGCCGCGGUAA